rnacentral:lncRNA from 1 species
AGCUUUGUGUCUCAAUCCUGUUUAAUGCCCAUCCCUGGCCUGCUGGGACCACAAACCCUAUCUGAACAUUCACAGAUUGAUUCAGCAGAGACCUGGGGGACAGGAGUCACGCUGGCAAUCAAAUGCUCAGAAGGGAUGUCACUGUUGCUGACAAAUCAUUAACAGAACCAGCCACAUGGCCCCACCAACCAAGGAGACCAGGUGGUCCUGCCGGGAAGAGAGAGAACGGAGGAUUGGGGCAAACAUCCUGCUGUCCCCAGGAGGCUGUGUGUUACAGAUUCACCACAACUGAGGUUCUGAAGCAACAUGUGCAGAUACAAUGAAAAAACUGCAUUCUUACUGUGGAAAAUAUGAGAAAUAUAGAAUAUAUAGAAGAAAACAAAUAACUCCAAAAAUACUC